AAAAAAAAAAAAAAAGGCUGGGCACCUAUGAGUUAUAGUUUAAUGACACAUGAAUCUCGUUGCCUUUGGAAAAUCAUUUAUUGAAAAUAUUGCUGUAGAGUAUUGCACCAUUUGACAACACUUUGAAUAUAUGCCUUAUUAUUGCUAGCUCCAACUGCUAAAGCUUGCAGCUUUCUUCUCUUAAAAUUUAGCUUUUUUCUGAGAUGGAUAAGCACAUUAACAUAUCGACAUGAUAGGAAUAUGAUCAUAGAUAAUAGAAUCUGCUAUUGAAUCUUAUUUAUUAAUACCUUAUAUUUCUUUUAUUUCUUUCAGAUUUACAUGUUUGCAGAAUGGUA
rnacentral:misc_RNA from 1 species